AUGGCCACCGCGCGCGCAGCUCACGCCUACGCAGUGGUCGACUGCGCCACGCCGCCGACUUCCUCGGACGACAGCGCUGCUGCCUUCCGCGACAGCCUCCUGCCACUCCUGGCCGCGCUACCCGCAGCCGCCGCGCCGACGGGGUUCGCGACCCUUCAGUCCGGCGGCGGGGCAUUCGCCCGCGGCUUCUGCCUGGGCGCCUCCGCGCCGAGAGAGUGCCUCGCGUGCCUCGCCGCGGCCGCCAAGAACCUCACCGGCUGCGGCGCCAGCAGGCGCGCCGGCGUGUGGAGGGCCGAGGGCUGCUUCCUGUCCUACGCCGACGACAAUACCUCCUCUGCGUACGAGGAAUCUUUCCUCCAGGUCGUCUACUCCGGCGAGGAAGUCUUACCCCCCGACAUCUCCUGUGAGGACAGUUCCGACCCCGGCUGCUUCGAGCCGCGGAGGCUCGUCGCGCUCGCGGAGUCCCUGGCGCGGCGCGGCGCAGCCAACAGCUCGGGCGCGCGCGUCGUCGCCGACGCGGCCGCGCUCUCGAUCAACGCCACUGUGAAGACCGCGGUGACGUUGCGGGCGCAGUGCGCGAGGGACCGCGCGGCGGCGGAGUGCGCCCGGUGCCUGGGGUACUUGGCGCGAGUGUUGGAGGCGUGCACCUGGUGGCUUGACGGCGAGUAUGCUUAUGUGGCCGCCGACGUGGUCGGCUACAACUGCUUCCUGCGGAUCGAGGCUUCAGUUCCUAAGGGUCGGCGCCUGGCGAAAUAUAUGAGUGAGUAG
rnacentral:rRNA from 1 species